AGGAUAAACGCUGGCGGCGUGCCUAAUGCAUGCAAGUCGAACGAGGUGUUCUUUCGGGAGCAUCGAGUGGCGGACGGGUGAGGAACACGUACGAGACCUGCCCACCGGUGGGGAAUAACCCCUCGAAAGGGGGCUAAUGCCGCAUACGGUCACUGGGGUGAUGCCUGGUGAGGAAAGCUCGCAAGGGCGCUGGUGGAGGGGCGUGCGGCCGAUUAGCUAGUUGGUGGGGUAAGAGCCUACCAAGGCGACGAUCGGUAGCUGGU
rnacentral:rRNA from 1 species